rnacentral:rRNA from 1 species
CAGUCGCCGCGGGAAUACGUAGGGUGCAAGCGUUAAUCGGAAUUACUGGGCGUAAAGCGUGCGCAGGCGGUUAUAUAAGACAGAUGUGAAAUCCCCGGGCUCAACCUGGGAACUGCAUUUGUGACUGUAUAGCUAGAGUACGGCAGAGGGGGAUGGAAUUCCGCGUGUAGCAGUGAAAUGCGUAGAUAUGUGGAGGAACACCGAUGGCGAAGGCAAUCCCCUGGGCCUGUACUGACGCUCAUGCACGAAAGCGUGGGGAGCAAACAGGAUUAGAUACCCCAGUAGUCCCUGUCUCUUAUAC